GUGGCUGUGGCUUAGUGGUACAGCACUUGCCUAACACAUGCGAGGCUCUGGGUUCGAUUCUCAGCACCACA
rnacentral:tRNA from 1 species